UCAAAUGGUAUCUCAAUAAAACAUCUCAAGAAUCAAGAUUCACAUAAUUGUCUUAUAUUCAACUUGAAAUUCAUAUAUAGCAUAUUGCUCACCAAUUAAACAUUUAAAACUAAUACCAUAAAAUAGUCCCUAAGCUAGCAAUUUAGACAAAAACAUAAAGUAAAUAAAAAUUAGAAUGCAUAAACCGAAAUCAGCUACUCUUUUCAACACUUUCUCCUUCCCUUUCACCUUCAAACUUUCACCAACUUCUUUAGCUUCAAAUUCAUCACCAAAAUAAUAACAAAAAAGUUAGAUUAACAACAAACCAUAAUAAUAAAAUCCUAAAUUUAUUGAAAUGAUACAAUUCAAGGAAGCAAGACAUUAAUUUCGCUUUUUAGACCACUUAAGAAAACUCUCCCAAACUUAGCUCUGACUUCUCCUAAUCUGAAAUCUAAUGGUAUAAUUAGUAUUUAUAACUUAAAAACAUUCUAAACCUGACCUAAAACCAUCAAAACCAAGCAAAAUCCCUAACUUACCUUCUCACUUAAGAACUCAUCCGUAACUUAAGAACUUAGUCAAAUCCUCACCAAAGCUAAAAUUUCCCAUUCUAAUGAUUAUUUAAACUCGUAAAAACCAAGGAUAUAACAAAAAACCACUAGAAAAGGCACAAAAUCAAACUCUCUCUAGGAUGCAUUUAACGUGAAAAUGGAGAAUAAGAAGAUAUUCCAAACUUGCAAAAUUUUGUUUUCUAGUAAUUUAAAAGGAUUUGUUAUCUUGAAAAACAUUAGAUCUCUUUCUAAAUUUUUAAUAUAAUCAUCAAAAAUCAAAAUCUCCUCCAAACUUGGAGAUUAACAUGGAACAUAGUAAAGAGAAGGAAAAUGUUAAAAUCAAGCCUGAAAAAUUGAAAAGAUGAAGAAAAUAAUUUGAAACUCAUGCUUACCUUGCUGAAAUUGUUUGAUUGAAAUCAAGAAUUGAAGACUGAAG
rnacentral:lncRNA from 1 species